CAUUAAGAAUCUUUAAAGCAAGAAUUGGUCUCUUAAACCAAAUUAUAGUAAAUUAGCAAUUACUCUUAAUGA
rnacentral:tRNA from 3 species